CAAGAAAGGAUGUAUCUGGUUGGGACAAGAGCUGUAAAAUGUGUUUUGUUUCUGAAGUGAAAAUUAGGAACUGGCAAGAGACUAGGAGAAACAACAUACAGAUUUCUUGACAAAGACAUCACCACAGAUCUCAAUACUCGUAUCAUUACAUCUAUACAAAACCUUACAAGUAGGAAACUUCUUAAAGAGGAAACUGCUGAUCUCCUUGUUAAUCCAAACCCCACCCCUGGAAGGGUUUACAUGCUGCCUAAAAUCCACAAAGCCAACAAUCCUGGUCGCCCAAUUGUCUCAGACUUGAAAUGAGGAGCCGUGAAUUUGAAACAGUCUACAGAGAGAAACUACAGAGAGAUAACAAAGACAACAUGCUUUUGACUGUCACUUUGAAUUCAUACUGAGGCAAAACAAGUUUACAUGUCUU